GGAGCGCUCACACAGGCGCGCGCGCGCACGCUCACACACUGAAGGACGGGAUGCCUCGCACGCACGCACACACUGUAGUCGUGUGAUUUUGUGUACGAGCGAACUGGUGGAUUUUAUUCUUAAUAGUUUACAUUUCAAGAUGAUGUUGUGUUGUGAAAAACAUCGGAAUGAAGAUUUUACGACUCAAAGAGGAAAUUAUUCAAGAAAGCAAACAGAUUGAAGUGAGACUUUGGUUCAUCGUGACGGGAUGUUUUCCUGAGAUUUAUGUCAGUAAAGGACGUAACUUAAAUGUGGUAAAACUGUAAGCAUUGAUGUUUAUCUUAAUGUGGGCUAAAAGAUGUUUAAACUGGGCUGUAUGGUCAUGAUGAUGGUUUAACUCAUUUCAGUAAAGUUCAACUAAAUACGGAGGUUUUUCUCGUCCCUGUUGGGUUCUCUUGAAUUUUAAACUCGGCCUAUAACAUGAGACGGAUAGUUGUAAGGUUUUUUCUGUCUGUAUCUUUGAGUGAUUUUAAGUCAUUGCAUUCAAGAUCAAGGCGUUACAGGUGUGGCUAUUAAAUGAUAUUUAAUGUAGCUGUUAUCUGUGCAGUACAAACAAAUGCAUGAGUUAGGUUCAUUAGUUGCAUUCAGUCUAAUGAAUAAUGGUUAACUAACUUGGCUUGCUCUCCUCAGAGGAGCUCGAACACGAGGCUCGCUUCGAGUCCCAAGUUCAAACCCCAUCCCGUUGCAGAAGUGUGCGGAGAGAGGAACGAGCAAAAGAGGGAGGAGCUUGGGGGGAGGAGGUGGGGUGUUCGAUGUAGCGUCACUGGGAAGGCGUGGUCACUGACUCGCUCUCAAAGUGAUUGACGGGACUGAAUGUUUAUACUCAAGAGCUUCAUUUCAAACAGGAGGAGUGAAAUGUUAAAAUUCACCGCAUAGUCCAGGUUAGGUGUAAGUUAACAUAGCCUGAGGUGAGAUCGAGAUGAUGACUGUGAGCCAGAUCUCAACCUGACCUCACUGAUGCUGCUUUUGUGUCUGAAUAUGAGAAAAUCCCUCCAUCAGUGUUUCCAAGAGCAGAAGCUCUUCUAGCAGCAAUAAAAAGAAAAUAUGGGUGUGAUGUCGAAGUUUGCAAGGCUCAGAAAAGACACAAUCAAAAAUCUAUUGAGGGUUUGAUUUAAUCAGAUGUGAAAUGAAUGUUGACAAUCUUUAAUAUCACUGUGAGAGUGACACACAACAGUAAAAGACAAAAACACAAACUACUAAACAGUCUUUGUAAACGCAAUUAACUAUCAUACUGAAAAGAGUUAUCCUAAUACAAAAUAAGAGAAAUUGUAAAAUAAAGGGUUAGUUUCUCCUUCAGUCCAGGAUGGGAUCAGAGCUCAAAACACCUUCAAAAUGACUAUAUUGCUCUAAACGAUCCAAGAAAUGAAGUGAUGAGGACCACACGAUGAUCUUUUAAAUCAUUUUAGAGUCAUGCAUCCGAUCAGAAGGAUUUUAACCCUCUUCAACUCUCACUUUCACAUCAUCCAAACAUUCAUACCCUGAUGAGACUUUACAUGACAAUAGUGAUGUCGAAUCGCCCCCUGUUGCAUGACGAGUGUAUAACAGCAUCAGUACUCACACACGUAUGAUCACAUGUUCAUGAGACUCCACUGGAGUUUUAUUUUGGUAUAAGGUUAGGGUCUUUUAUUCAAGCUUCAUGUACACAAUGUUGAUUUUACUGACGGCUCAGACACAGAUCUCAUCUGCCGUUACCUCCUGCUGGAUGGAUGUAGCUGAUGUGAGCUCCUCCAACCCGACGGCGCUGAACACAAGAGAUUAUAAAACAUUGAGGAUUAUGUGCUUGACCGAGCAAAACUUACUGCUGCAAUGCUGGGACUGUUUACCGGGGUCUUAUGCAGUUUAUUGUGCAGGCAUUUUGAUUGUUUUGUCAAAAGAUCAUGGGUAUUAUUUUUCAGGUAACACACAGCCUAAUAAAAAAAACUUAAAUACA